GUUCUAGGCCCCAAACCGCCGUCCGAAUAGCGCUUAACGUAUUUUAGAACUUCACAUUCCAUUAGAGAUCGUAGGCAUAUGCUUCGACAUAACUUGAUAAUUAGAUGAAUAAAAAGGAGAAAAGAUCCCUUCAGUAUUUAAAUGUUUUUCAUAAUCCUACUAUUUUUAUAACACGUUUUCGAAUGUUGACAGUAAUCAAACAGCAGAAAUAAGAACAGGAAAGAACGUGGUGAAAAUUCUAGUUGUAAUACUUAAAAAAAUGCAAAUUAUUUCCCCUAAUCUUCCCUAUCCUACGUUUUAUCACGUGGCUAUAGUAGUCCUACGAUUGCAACAACAAUUCUAAACAAAACAUGUAGGCCUAGAUUUAA
rnacentral:lncRNA from 1 species